rnacentral:lncRNA from 1 species
GUCAACAAUGUCAAGGCUGAGAAACUCUGGUCUUACAUUGGCUUGAAGCAAUGCAUAUUAAACUCAUAGUAGGCAGGGCAAUGUUGACUUUCCAAAUGACAUAGCACCUUGAGAGUUCAAUAAAGAUGAAGAGAGUCUAUAGUUGUUGACAAUGACAGUAUUCUUAGCUUCUUAGCAUAGGGAAGCAAAGAAUAAACUGGGUAUUCCCAGGUUCGGGUCUCUUGAUCAUUCCAUUAAUAACAAUAGUCCUUCAUUUCCACCAGUGAAGGUGAAGGUGUGAGCAAGUUCAAGGUAGCAGGUCCUCCAAGAUCUCAUCCCAUCUUGUAAGAUCUAAAGAUUCUAUAAAAGCACUCAACUUUUCUUUUUAGAGAUGUUUUUCGUUUCAGUGCAGCCGCUACUACAAUAACUAUCACCGUUAGCUUGAAAGAGAACCAGACAUAAUGGAGGGCAAUUAUUUUCUCCUCUUUUACCCACAGCUCUCCUUCCUCCUUCCUCCAAACUACUCCCAGUGCCAUGCUAUACACCCCCAUCCUGUGACCAGGCCUGCAGGCCCUUCUGUUCCCACAGACUCUACCAAGUUUCUCAGGGGAUUUAUGGUGACUUAUUUAAAUGCAACUGAUUUGCCCACAAGGGCCAACUCAAGGAAAAUAAUUUCCAUCAGCCCCAUCUUUCCUGAGCUUUGUACACAAGAACACCAAAAGGCCUUUCUUUCUUUGGAAAAUAAGUUCCUUUUCCUAAUUGGAGUCAGUUUUACUAAUCAAGAUUACAAUGAGGCUUUACAAGCAACGUUGAAGAAGGGAGCAUUUAUGCAGUUUACCUCCUGAGCAUUGAACAUGCAGAGAAAGAUUCCAAACACCCCAGAACUACACAGGCCACUGCUAAGUGAUGCUUAAGGACUUGUCAGCAAAGGCUCCAAUGCAUUCACCUAGGACAAUGCCCAAAGUCAAUGAUCUCACAAGGAUACAUAUGACAUGAGGAUUCUUGCCAGCAAAAGCCAGCUUGAAUCUGAACAGAAAUAUCCACGAUAUGCCAUCAUCUUCCUUUUCCAAGUGAACUCUCUGCUAAAUAAAUAACGAAAAUAUUCUAAGUACAAUCAAGUAAAAGAAAAACAUGAGCAUUUUCCAAUCUAUCAACAGAUGAGGCACAGAAAAGCCAUUUGGACAGAAGCAAAGGUCUCCAAGAACAACAAAAGCCACACUGUUAAUACCACAGGGUUGGAUAAACCUGUUCCAUGCCAAGGCCAUAUGGAAAGCUUACAGGGAGAAUGGCACGAAGAAACAAAAGGCCUUUGGAAACCUCUGAGGAUUGCUGGGUGAAAAUGGAAUUUGGGCAGUGAGGCAAGAAGGAUCCAGGCUGACCUCCAUAGGGCACAGUAACAUCAAUUCAAGAUAUUUGCACUCAAGCAGGCUGCUAAACCCCCGUGAUGCUGAACACUUGAGCUUGUCCCAAUCCCUGGUGCCUUCCGCCUUUCGCUGCAGCCUGGACUAACCACGCUUUGAGCAAGUGAAACGCUUGCCACUGUUGCUGUACUUCUGAGUCACUGAGAUGAGACAGUGACCAGUAACAAGACUCCCUCCUUGAUUAAAUGAAAUCAGGUUCCUCUAAGUCCUCAAGGUCUCGAUCUUACAAGUCCAUCCUUGCCAGACCCGUUAUCACCUAGUUUUAGCAAAAAUCUUGUUACAUCACUUGAGAAAGAAUCCCCACGCUGGUUAUCUCACCAAAUUCAUCAUCUCUCACCAUUCCCCAGGUGAGAUCUGAUCACCCUGGCCUGCCUUCAGCACGACUCCUGUUAGGUCUGUUUAGCAAGAAUCUUCCUUACUUCUGAUGCUCCCUUUUAGGGGCUAUCUACCCACUGACCCCUAACCCUGCCUUUUGGCUACAUAUCCCCACUUGUUCAAGUAUGUUCAGAAUUGGGCCCCUACUGCAAUAGUUCCUGACUAAAAUCUGUUUUUACUACUCUAAUCACUCUCUGGUUUUGGUUUUUCUUUCUUUUCUUUUCUUUUCUCUUUUCUUUUACUUUUUUUGUUGUUGUUGAGAUGAGGUC